GGUGUGGUGAACACGUGCUGACUGAAUGGGAGCCCUCGUGAACAACCGGCUAGACCAAUCGCAAUAAAUCCCCCAAGAGAGAACUCCAAGCUAACCAGACAAAACAACAGUGAAACUCCAACAUGUCACUGAGAGCCCACAGAAAACCAGACGCCAUCCUAUUCACUCUGUAGUCUCAAGACCAUGCCAUGCCUCAAGAUGAUUCUGCAAUCCACAAGACAAACAAGACAGUAGAACAAUUAGUGCAUUUACUUUGUGUCUCAAUCUCUUUGUCAUAGGGCCAAAGAAAUGUAUGAAACUCAAGAUGUGCUACAAACUGUCAGUUGCCAAGCAAGUGUCUGGGACAUGGCAGCCAAUGGGAGACUGCAUGAACAACUCCCCUUAACCAAUCAGAGCUCUGAUAAGGAGCGUGUGAAAUGCCUUUAGCUACCUGAGAUAAGGACCAAACUUCCCAUGUUGUUUUUGCCCCAGUUACCUUGAGACUCACAGAGCCAAACCAUAUAAACAGGCUUUCUAACCUCUCAAACAUGUUUUUAUAGUGAUGCUGUUUGUAGAGUUGUCAAAUGAUUUCUUUCAAAAAGUUCAAGUGAAGGUUGAUGAAGUCAAAUCUAGAACUCUGGGUUGAAUUCCAAUGUAUUCCAAAAAUCAAAUUGUUCCUUUCACUUUCUCUUAGACCCUCUGCUUUUAAUCUAAUUUGACUGGUCGUGAACUUGGCACUGUGACACACUUCCAUGAAUUGAUUGCAGGUGUAAAAAUACUUUCUCCCAUGCUGGGGCCUCAGAGCACUAAUGAACACCAUAUAAAAUUAGCGCCCACUAAUCCAAGGAUUUCAAUGUCUUAAUCAACAGGCUACUAUCUGACAGGGUGCACACUUGCCCUGUCCUUGCAAAGACAUUCCAGCACCUUUAAGUACAGAACGGAUGGCUCAGCAAUAGGAGAUAACUCACAAUGCUUGCAUUAACAGAUGCAUAUUUAAAAUAGAUUAA
rnacentral:lncRNA from 1 species